UCUCAAACGAAAACUGCGGAUCAAAAUAUACCAGAGCCCCAAUUGCUCUGCUUCUAAUUUUGUUUCUAGACAACAGCACAAAAGAGGAGUGCAGAGAGCACAGAGCAGAGAGCGGAGAAGGAGCAAAAUAGAGAAAACCAGGUACAAGAAGCUAUUUGGAAGCCAAAACCUAAGACAACAGCUUGUGUUGUCUACACUCACCUUCACGCCCAUUCAAAUUCACGACAUACGAAACAACGAGACAUGGCCCGGUCUCCGCAUGUACGAGGUCGCCCUCCUCAAGUUGCUCGCUUUGGUCUGCCAUGGUUGUUCUUUCGAAAUCAACGACACUGGUACCCAGUAGCCCUCCCCAGACACUAAUUUUUUUUCAUACCUUAUAUUAUAUAGAUAUAUAUAUAUAUAUAUGUAUAGCUCUGAGUGCUGUUUUUGUUCUGUGUGUUUGGGUAGGCAAUGGAUUUAAGUUCAAGCCAGGGAUAGUGAUGGGUGGGUCGAAACUGGAACACGACUGUGAUGUUGAGCGGUCUAUUUGGUAUUUCUUGGAGCCCUUAAUUUUGCUUGGCCUCUUUGCCAGGAAACCCAUUACCAUUACGCUUAAAGGUAGCCACUUUUUUCACUGCUAAUUCUGAACCUUGUUGCUUCAUCAUUGCUAUGACUUUGAAAACUGCAUAUUUGUAACUAGUUCUAAACUUUGGCACUUGUUAAUGACAGAGUUUUAGUAAUAUUAAGAAUUCAGUUUGUUUGUUUUUUUAGCAAUCAGUUUGUUUGAACACUUACAAUUUUCCAAUGUAGAUGGGAUUUUAACAAUCGGUUCAGGGUUUAGGUACAUGCCGCUCGCGGAGUCUUUCAGCCCUUCCUUCCAGAUGUUCGCAUAUUUACUGACCAUAGAGUUGGCCCACAAACUGGAGUGUAUGUUUUCCAUCCAGAUAUUGUUAUAUUUCUCUAAUGUCAGGAUGUAUUUGAUGGAAUUUUGAAUGUGUUUUUUUUAGGCUUAUGCCAUUUAAGUACACUUCCACUCAUAUAGACAACAAUGACUUUAUGGCAGGUCACAUGGUUAUGGAACGUCACUAGUUGCAGAAACAACCUCUGGCUGCUAUAUCUCUGCUGAUACAACUAUUUCUCAUGCACGAGGGGAACAAAUAUCUGAAGUUGACUCUGAGAAGAAAGAGCUGGUGCCUCCAAAGGAUGUUGGUUUGAAAAUUGCUUCUGUUCUGCUUGGGGAGAUUGGGCAGGGCGGAGUGGUAGAUUCAAAUCUCCAGGUUAGUUAUUUUAUGUAUUGUGCUCCUUCCCUACCGACUUAAUUCUCGUACCUUCUCAUUUUUAUUGAUUUUAGAACCUUCACACCAUAGGACAGUAAUUAGGGAAGUGUACACUAAAACAGGAAAAUGAUUUCUAGAAAUGGAUGAAAUGAAGGGAAAAGUUGUCCUAGAUGGAAGAUUUGGCAAAAUUUUAGUCUGAGGAAGACCCCUGAAAUUCCUUUAUGAUUUUAUUAAGGCAUGUGCUAGAUAUACUUUUUCUAUUUCAGUAAUCACUCCCAUUUGUCAAAUGAAGAUAACAACAAUAAGGAGUUAUUGUUAACCUAAAAUGAUUAAUGAUCAUUGUUCAUGGUCUAUGUCUUUCCUCUUGCUAUCUAUGAAAAAAAAAAAAGUAUUGGAUUGAAAAUAUUAAAAUUGACACUUGUUACUCCAGCCAAACGGAUGCAACAACAUCUUAAACAACAAACAAGAACCUUGAGAAAGCAAUAUCCAAACGAAAAAGAUUUUGAAAUCCUAGCCAAAGUCUUCUGAAUCUGUCAAAUGAGGACAUAGAAGAGAUGCUGCUGUGAGGAUACCAGCCAAAUUUUUUCCAUAGUAACAAUCAAACAUAACCACUAAAAUAUGAAUUGUCUUUUAUUGUUUAUUCCACGCAGGGUGAUUUGGCACCAAUGGUGGAGCUAGGAUUUCACAUUAGAGGGGGCCUUUCACAAAAAAUUUAAAAAUAAUUCGAAUAGGAGUCCUCAAGCGCUAAACGGGUUAAUAAGUUAAUAAUAUUAUUUCAUCCUGAUUAAUAAUUUAUCCAUUUAUUACAACCAUAAUUGUCCUGAAUUUCAUAUUUUAACAUGGUUGAAUAUUAAUCUCAUCAUCUACACUAUUAAAGACCCAAAACUGAAUAAUUUAUACUUCAACAGAGAGAAGAAAUACAAAAAUUGAAAAUCCCAAUAUUAAGAUACCCUACUUAGACAUGUAAAAUGGGGGAAAGGGGAAUUCACAAAGCUUAAAUUAAUCAAAAGAGGAAGAGAAGAGGGAAAGAAAAAAAAGAGUUUUUACUCCAAGAAGCAAACAUAUAAGUAAAAAUAUGAGAAAAUAAAAAAAAUGAGAGAGGGCCUGGGCCCACCCUGGUCCUUAGGUGGCUCCGCCACACCACACUUUCUAUAAGAAAUGAAUUAUGAUUGCUAUAAAAAUGAAAUGUUAGAGUAGAAUAUAUUAUUUAAAUAUGGGUGCCUCUCACCUCCUCCCUUUUUAUGAUUUAUGUUUAUGUUCUGAUAGUGAGUUUGCUGCCAUCUGGGUUUGUAGGGUUUGUUGUUUCUUCUUUGUGCAUUAUGUCCCCAAGAUGUUUCAAAAGUUCAGAUCGGAAAGCUCUCUCCUUAUGGGAUAGAUACACUGAAAAACAUAAAUGAUUUUCUCGGAGUUAAAUUUGUCAUUAUGCCAUGCGCAUCCACAAGUACUGUUUUUCUCAAGUGUGUGGGCUGUGGUUUGAGGAAGCUAUCUAGAAAGAUUUCGUGAUAGUCACAAUACAAGGUAUAUGAUUUUCUAUAUAUCAAGCAGUAUGUUUCAUUAUGCUAAAGUAUUGUCAAAAGGCCUCCCAUGCAUCAAUCGUGGAAGAUUGCAACUUCAUGUCUGUGUACAUCUUUUGCUAUGUAACCCUGAAGCAAUCACAUAAACUCCAUUUAAGAAGUAGGAGUUGUUGCAAUUUUUAACACAUUAGUUCAGAUUUUGUCGAAUAUAUAUAGAGGUUAAUGUACAAAUUAGUAACACAUAGUCAACGUACACAUGCUUUCUUGGGUGCCUCUUUGUUUGGAAAGGAAGAAUUCAAUUUCAAGCCUCUCAUGGAAUCUUCGAUGAUAACGGUUUAGACUCGAGCACGAGUCUUUUCCAACCAGGGGAGUUUGAUGCAAGAGCAUCUACGAAGCUCUCUAAGAUUAGUUAAGCCUGUUAGUCAAUUGGGCUAGGGUUCUAGUUCCUUUAAAUUAAUAGUUACUUCUUUUGUUUUCCUUUUCUUACUAGGUUUUGUUUUAAUUUCCUGUUUAGAUUUUUAGACAGUCCUGCAUCAUGUAUUUCAGGAUGCGGUUUUGCUGGAUUUAAUGUUUGAUAUACUUUUGUGUUUAGCAACAUACCAACUUGAGACCACUAAAUCUCGACCCGUCACUGAUAAUUCCUCAACUUAGCUGCCUAGGUCUAACAGUGUUUGUUCAAGCCUUGGCGGAUGUAUCGAGCCACAUAACCCCAACAAUCUCCACACAUGCUGCUCACCCUCCAUGGCAUUCAUGGACCAAUCAGCCAAUGAUGUGCAUUGAUCCUUGCAACUCUACCUCCUAACCAUAAUUUUUUCAUGAGCUGGCACCACGUAGCUAGGCAUUAUAAACACCCCUAGGACUUAUUCAAGCUGCUCCACCUAUUGGAUCAAGAGAUCCACUAAGUCUCCUCUUUCACCAUGUGUCUUUUCAACCUUAAAAGAUUAUCACAUUAUGUGUGUCUUAGUCGAACUGUCGGCUCUGGUACCACUUACAAAGCAAUGAAACAAUAUGGGAUUGGUACUAAUCUCGAUCCAGCACUGGUAUGGUCCCCAACUUAGCCACCUCGGGCCAACUUAGGCGUAGGGUUUUAUCACAAAAGAAUGUCGUUUUAGUAGUAGUGGAUCACCCAACUUUACAUAUAUAUGUGUGUGUGUGUGUGUGUGUUGUAGAUUGUGUUAUCACCCUUUUUUUCUUUUUCUUUUUUUGGUACGAAUUUUCACCAUGCUUUUGUAGGAUUAUCUCCAUAUCCAUGGCUUCUAUCGAGCCACAUAACUCCAAGACUUUGAGUGUUAAUUAUUAUGUCAGUCAUCUAAUAAGUAAUAGCAUGAUGUUUCGCCAUAUCUGAUAACUGUAAUUUAUGUGCCAAGUUAUUGCAUGCGCUUCCCAUUAAUGCAUAUUUUUCUUUGUUCAGGCGGUGUUUGAGGAGGCAAUCUGCUAGGUUUAGGUCGCAGACAGAGAACUUAUGUGAGAUAGAGGAUGUCAAAUUUCCAGUCAGUCGCACACCAGACGAAUGCAUAAUAGUGGUCCCACUCCAUUGAUUUCAUCUACUAGUAAAGAAGAGAAAGAAGAUUAAUGUGCCCCAAGGCGAUCUUCAUUCGGAAGACCACCACGCAGAGCAGCUGAGAAGGUUCAGUCCUACAAAGAAGUUCCUCUCAAUGUAAAAUUGCGUGGAGUGAGCAUAAGGGAAGCACCUGAAUUUUGAGAAUACCAGUGAGUUUGAAAAGAGCUUGUAUAAUUCAAUAAAAUAAAAUAAAAAGGAACAAACAUAAAAGAGCUUGG
rnacentral:lncRNA from 1 species